CCCUUCUUUUGUUCCAUCAAAUCAUUUUUGGAUCUUUGCAUCCAUCUGGGUUUCCCUCAGAUUGCUUUUCCUACGCGGUGGAAUCUGAACGUCUUGGUGGGUUUUUAUCUAUUUAAUCUCUCGUGUACAGCUUCUUGGGUUUUGACUCAUUUUAA